GUUGACAGUGCUCACUUAAGCUAAAAUGGAAACGAUACAGAGAAGAUUAGCAUGGCUCCUGCGCAAGGAGGACAUGCAAAUUCAUGAACCGGUCCAUAUUUUU